rnacentral:lncRNA from 1 species
GGCCCAGCUUCCUUGCUGUAGUUUCUAGCAUAACACCAGGGAUGUGGUGGUGAAAGUUCCGGAAGUGUUGAGAACUGCUGCUGUCAGCCCAGGGUGCUCCGGGUAGUAAACGAUAGUGUUGGUUACCAGGGCUCUGCUGCGCCAAGGCAGUGGAGGGUGAGUCCUGGCAGCCCCUGGGUGACCACGCAGGGGUCUGACCCGCCAGCCUUGUCCUCUCCACCAGGUAUGUGCACUGCGCGUGACCAGCCGGGCCCGCAGCCGCAUCCUCAGGGCAGGGGGCAAGAUCCUCACUUUCGACCAGCUGGCCCUGGACUCCCCUAAGGGCUGUGGCACUGUCCUGCUCUCCGGUGAGUGAUACGUGGUCGACGGGUUUGGACUGAGCUGUGUGGCUACUGGCAGCCUUCACCCUCCUGGAUCUGGGAGGCCAGAAGCUGGGCGCCAGAUCCCUGUCUCACCCGGUUCUCCUUCCCCUUCCCUAGGUCCUCGCAAGGGCCGAGAGGUGUACCGGCAUUUCGGCAAGGCCCCAGGAACCCCGCACAGCCACACCAAACCCUACGUCCGCUCCAAGGGCCGGAAGUUCGAGCGUGCCAGAGGCCGACGGGCCAGCCGAGGCUACAAAAACUAACCCUGGAUCCUACUCUCUUAUUAAAAAGAUUUUUGCUGACA